CCCUUAGAUGUUCUGGGCCGCACGCGCGCUACAAUGAUGAAUUCAACGAGUUUAUAACCUUGGUUGAAAAGCCUGGGUAAUCUUUUGAACUUUCGUCGUGAUGGGGCUAGACCCUUGCAAUUAUUGGUCUCCAACGAGGAAUUCCUAGUAAACGCAAGUCAUCAGCUUGCAUUGAUUACGUCCCUGCCCUUUGUACACACCGCCCGUCGCACCUACCGAUUGAAUGGUCCGGUGAAAUCUUCGGAUUGAGACUUUGAUUUCUUCAUGGAAAACGCUGUUUUAAAAAGUUGAUUAAACCUUACCAUUUAGAGGAAGGUGAAGUCGUAACA
rnacentral:rRNA from 1 species